CCUACGGGAGGCUGCAGUGAGGAAUAUUGGUCAAUGGACGAGAGUCUGAACCAGCCAAGUAGCGUGAAGGAUGACUGCCCUAUGGGUUGUAAACUUCUUUUAUAAAGGAAUAAAACGAGGCACGUGUGCCUUUUUGCAUGUACUUUAUGAAUAAGGAUCGGCUAACUCCGUGCCAGCAGCCGCGGUAAUACGGAGGAUCCGAGCGUUAUCCGGAUUUAUUGGGUUUAAAGGGAGCGUAGAUGGGUUGUUAAGUCAGUUGUGAAAGUUUGCGGCUCAACCGUAAAAUUGCAAUUGAUACUGGCAGUCUUGAGUACAGUUGAGGUAGGCGGAAUUCGUGGUGUAGCGGUGGAAUGCUUAGAUAUCACGAAGAACCCCGAUUGCGAAGGCAGCUUACUAAACUGUGACUGACAUUGAUGCUCGAAAGUGUGGGUAUCAAACAGGAGUAGAUACCCUUGUAGUC
rnacentral:rRNA from 1 species